rnacentral:lncRNA from 10 species
CUGAGGUUCAGAAGGGUGAGAUGACACAUUCAAGGUCACAUGGCUCAUUUGUGUUGGAGUCAGAAGUUUCCAGAUUUCUUGACUUUUAGUCCAAGGAGCAGUCCCUGUGCAUGUGUCAGAGUUGAACAAGCCAGCUGGACUGAGUGCCCAUGACCUCAGGGACAUCUUGGAAGCUAUAUGUAGAAGAUGGAAAAGCCUCUGUCAUCUCCAUCAAUUUAAUCUCCAAAUAACUACUUAGAAAAGGGACAGCUUACUAACUCCUUCAUUGCCCAGUACUAUUAGGACUACUGAUUGUUUGGGGACAUCCGAAAUCACUCAGGAUUGUGGUGACCAGUUGAACAGAGAUAUGCCAAAAGCAGGCAGUGAUUUAUAUCCCUGCAGAAGGAGUCUCGCCCUGUCACCAGGCUGGAGUGCGAUGGUGCAAUCUCUGCUCACUGCAACUUCCACCUCCCGGGUUCAAAUUUCUCCUGCCUCAGCCUCCUAAGUGGCUGGGACUACAGGUGCCUGCCGCCAUGCCUGGCUAAUUUUUUGUAUUUUAGUAGAGAUGGGGUUUAGGCUGGUCUCGAACUCCUGAGCUCAGGCAAUCUGCCCUCCUGAGCUCAGGCAAUCUGCCUGCCUGGGCCUCCCAAAGUGCUAGGAUUACAGGCAUGAGCCACCGCCCUCAGCCACUAUCUUAUUUUUUAGCCUAUCUGAAUUAAAAACAUAAAGUCUUCUCUAUGUAUGUUGAUGAUAAACUUUGGGUUUCAAGGAAAAGAGUCACUCAGGCAACUUCCAAGAAUGGGAGGGGAGAAGGGGUUGUUAUAGGAUACAGUGGAAAUAAAUCUGGGAGGAAUCUCAAUCAUGUUCCAAGAGCUUGCAGGGGCCCAGAGAAAUUCUCACAAUGAGGCCUCACAGGAAAAGCAAGAACACCGACAGCAGGAAAGCUUGGAGGCUAAGAGUUCCCUUGGAAGUUGAACUACUGCCUGAGAAUAUUAAAACAAAAACAGAAACACGUAAAUAGCCAGCCCUGAAACGAGCCUCUCAACUUCUGAUAGGUUAUAUUUACAUUUAUGUACUUUCCUAUCACAGUUUAUAAUCAAGCUAAGGCUAGUAGCCUUGAAUAUUUUUAGGGCUGCAAUUUGUACAUCAUCUAAGCUAACAGAUGAAAAGUGCAAGUGUAGUUGCCUAAGCACAGGUACAUUCGUUCAACAACAAAUCUUUACCUGAAUGUCCAUUGUAUGUCCGACGCUGUCCUGUAUCCUGGGGUGGCAGCCUGGGGACCUGAGAGGACUUUGAGUGGAGCUAAAGAAACAGAAAAUAACUUCAACUAAUAAAUGUCUUUUAAUAUCUCUUGCAAUGGAAAUUUUCAGUGGCUUAAUUUUUUUACUUGUCUACUUCGAAGGUGAAGUUACUCACAGGCAGGUUUCUUAGUUUACAGACUUAGCUUUUCUUCCACUCCCAGCGUAUUAUCAUUUAUCAACUAUUGUCAUUGAAUGUCCUUACACCAGGCAUGGUAGAUGGCUUUUCAGCUUCCAGGCAUCAUGUUGUGUCUUUUUAUUCUUCAAUGGUAUUGCUUUAAAUUGUAGGCAUCCUUGUAAUGGGUUUUCUUCUUUUUCUGACCCAUAAAAAAUUUCUGAUAAUAUUUGUUGAACUCUGAUCCCAUUAAAUUAAAAUUUUAGUUAUUAAAAGACAAGGUGUCACUUUUCUCAAUCUUAGAAACAGAUGAGGUCAGCUGCACUCCCUGCCCU